AGAGAGAGAGAGAGGGAGGGAGGGAGGGAGAGAGGGAGGGAGAUGUUAAAAGGGAAAAGAAGAUAAAAGUAUACGUAAUAUGUUCAAAGCAUUUAAAUGCUCUUUUUUUUUUCCAUCCUUUCUCCAUCUCUCCCUCUCUCUCUCUCUCUCUCUCCCCUCA